GACGAACGCUGGCGGCGUGCUUAACACAUGCAAGUCGAGCGGUAAGGCCCUUUCGGGGGUACACGAGCGGCGAACGGGUGAGUAACACGUGGGUGACCUGCCCUCAGCUCUGGGAUAAGCCUGGGAAACCGGGUCUAAUACUGGAUAUGACUCCAUGACGCAUGUUGUGGGGUGGAAAGCCUUGUGCGGCUGAGGAUGGGCCCGCGGCCUAUCAGCUUGUUGGUGGGGUGANGGCCUACCAAGGCGACGACGGGUAGCCGGCCUGAGAGGGCGACCGGCCACACUGGGACUGAGACACGGCCCAGACUCCUACGGGAGGCAGCAGUGGGGAAUCUUGCGCAAUGGGCG
rnacentral:rRNA from 1 species